AUGUGCUAGCUACGUGGCUGUUGUGUUUUGGAAUUUUGUGAGCGAUUCACAUUAUAUUACCUGAUACAUAAAGGCAUGACAUGCGAUUGUUCGUGUUGAGAGAGGUAGGACGGUGCUGUUUAUACAAAGCAGAACACAUGCCAAAAACCCAAAGUUCACUGUCCUUUGGUGACCAAUGCAAGUUCGCAAUAUCUUGUUAGCAACUUAGGCUAAACCAUAAAGACGUAUAAUAUUCCAAGCUAUUCUUUUAUUUAAUUUAUUUAAACUUUAACUAUGCUAUAUGUAAACUACAUGUAAGGAAAAUAAUUUGUCAGGGUCACCUGGAUUUGUAUGGAGUAGUUUUAUUUUAAAUGACAGAUUUAGCCAAUUACGAUCUUUUCACGGAGACGUUCAGCACAGCACUACAUAAAAAGAGGGAUUACAAAGAGCUAUACAAUCAUCAGUCACAAGGUCUCAGCGACGAGGAGUCACAUGGACAGUGUAAGGGCAAGGUGCCAGUGUAAGUCCAAAUCGCCCGUCCAUGGAGGGCGGUGGCAAGCCGUCCGGGAGCCUGAAGGUGAAAGCCUGCAUCAGAUUCGAGAACAUCAGGAAGAGCUCCAUCUUAGCCAGCUGCUCGCCCAUGCACAGCCUGCGGCCUGGAAACAGAAGAUGCGUCAACACCAGUGUGAUCCUGUCUGGCCUCAUGACCAACAUUCAAAAGAACCUGGCGGGAUUGAAGUCGUCUGGGUUUUCCCACACAGUCGGAUCUCGGUGGACAGACCAGAGGUUUGGGAUAAUCACUGUUCCCUUGGGGAUUGUGUAUCCUCGAAACACUAUAUGGAAACCCCCAAAAGAAAAUUCUUAUUGAGGAUGUGCUCACCUGUGGUCUCUGAGGCCAUGUGAGGUAUUGCCAGGGGAACAACUGAAGUCAUCCUCUGGACCUCCAUAAUAGUGGCUUCAGUAAAAGGACAGCUAGCCUUGUCUGUCAGCGAGGGGACCCUGUCUGUCCCCACAACUGAAUCAAUCUCAGCCUGAACCUUCUCUGUGAAGCAAAGAGAAACAUCCAAGGAAGGUAAGCAACCCCCUCUGCGUGUCUAUUUAGUUACAAACCAGGAUAUGAUGUUUCUCAUCAUUUUGCAAACUAGCCAUUAAUUCAUACAUCACAUCUAAUCAGCCAGUUGUGCCAAUCAGAAGAGAUCCAAAAUGCUGAUGACAAAAUUAGUGCUGCUGCAAUCCAUCUCCAUCCAAAACUACAGUACCUACAAUGCAUCAGAAUAGCAUAGCAAAUCACUGCCUCCAAUACGCAUGGUAUAAGACUAUGGGUCAGACACCUUGAAUGUCUGGAUAUACGCUCAUGUACAGCAGCAUCCAGAGCACAGUAUUGGUGGUGGUGUCAGUUCCGGCGAUGAAGAGAUCGCCAAUGAUGUAGAAGAGAUAAUCCUCCGAGAAGCUGGUUUCCCCCGCCCCUACGCUCUGUUGCUGCUGGGCCGUCUCCACCAGGUACAUGUCGAUAAGGUCACGGGGGCUGUCCGGGUCCAAACUGGACCUGUGCUGGACGAUAAUUUCCUUCAGGAAGACCGUGAUGUCCCUCUCCACCUGCCGGAUUUCCCUGAAGGGACCGAAGGGCAGGUAGUACAGCCAGGGGAAGACGUUGAUGAGGAUGGCCGGGCUGUUGAUGCAGAGCUCCAGGCCCCUGGACAUGAGCUCCAGCAGCGAGCGGAACUGGGAAUCCCCGUGGUGGAAACGCUGACCGAGGCUAAUGGAGGAGAUCACAUUAGACACCGCGUUGCUGACGAGCGGUGUCAGG